rnacentral:rRNA from 1 species
UGCGAAGGGUGCAAGCGUUACUCGGAAUUACUGGGCGUAAAGCGUGCGUAGGUGGUUCGUUAAGUCUGAUGUGAAAGCCCUGGGCUCAACCUGGGAAUGGCAUUGGAAACUGGCGACCUAGAGUGCGGUAGAGGGUAGUGGAAUUCCCGGUGUAGCAGUGAAAUGCGUAGAGAUCGGGAGGAACAUCUGUGGCGAAGGCGACUACCUGGACCAGCACUGACACUGAGGCACGAAAGCGUGGGGAGCAAACAGG